rfam:Brugia pahangi genome assembly, scaffold: BPAG_scaffold0000140
ACCUUUAUGUAGACUCAUCAAAUCCUGAGGCAGGAGAAGAUCCUAAGAGUUCGGCUAUUCGCCGAUUAAAGUACGUGAGUUGGAUUUAAAACGUCGCGAAACAGUUC